UAGGGAAUUUUGCACAAUGGGCGCAAGCCUGAUGCAGCAACGCCGCGUGAGUGAAGAAGGCCUUUGGGUUGUAAAGCUCUUUCGGCUGGGAAGAUGGGUCUGGAUGCGAAUAGCUCCCAGAUUUGACGGUACCAGAAGAAGAAGCACCUGCUAACUACGUGCCAGCAGCCGCGGUAAUACGUAGGGUGCAAGCGUUAAUCGGAAUUACUGGGCGUAAAGCGUGCGCAGGCGGUUUUGUAAGCCAGAUGUGAAAUCCCCGGGCUCAACCUGGGAAUGGCAUUUGGGACUGCAAGGCUGGAGUUUGGCAGAGGAGACUGGAAUUCCCGGUGUAGCAGUGAAAUGCGUAGAUAUCGGGAGGAAUACCGAUGGCGAAGGCAGGUCUCUGGGCUAUAACUGACGCUCAUGCACGAAAGCGUGGGGAGCAAA
rnacentral:rRNA from 1 species